rnacentral:rRNA from 1 species
ACGCACGCUGGCGGCGUGCCUAAUCCCUGCAAGUCGAGCGGACGGAUGGGAGCUUGCUCCCAGACCGUCAGCGGCGGACGGGUGAGUAGCACGUGGGCAACCUGCCUGUAAGACUGGGAUAACUCCGGGAAACCGGGGCUAAUACCGGAUAACUCUUUCCCUCACAUGAGGGAAAGCUGAAAGAUGGCAUCUCGCUAUCACUUACAGAUGGGCCCGCGGCGCAUUAGCUAGUUGGUGAGGUAACGGCUCACCAAGGCGACGAUGCGUAGCCGACCUGAGAGGGUGAUCGGCCACACUGGGACUGAGACACGGCCCAGACUCCUACGGGAGGCAGCAGUAGGGAAUCUUCCGCAAUGGACGAAAGUCUGACGGAGCAACGCCGCGUGAGUGAUGAAGGUUUUCGGAUCGUAAAACUCUGUUGUCAGGGAAGAACAAGUACCGGAGUAACUGCCGGUACCUUGACGGUACCUGACCAGAAAGCCACGGCUAACUACGUG